GACGAACGCUGGCGGCGUGCCUAACACAUGCAAGUCGAACGGAACUGUUUUGAAAGAUUUCUUCGGAAUGAAUUUGAUUUAGUUUAGUGGCGGACGGGUGAGUAACGCGUGAGUAACCUGCCUUCAAGAGGGGGAUAACAUUCUGAAAAGAAUGCUAAUACCGCAUGAUAUAUCGGAACCACAUGGUUCUGAUAUCAAAGAUUUUAUCGCUUGAAGAUGGACUCGCGUCCGAUUAGUUAGUUGGUGAGGUAACGGCUCACCAAGACCGCGAUCGGUAGCCGGACUGAGAGGUUGAACGGCCACAUUGGGACUGAGACACGGCCCAGACUCCUACGGGAGGCAGCAGUGGGGGAUAUUGCGCAAUGGGGGCAACCCUGACGCAGCAACGCCGCGUGAAGGAUGAAGGUUUUCGGAUUGUAAACUUCUUUUAUUAAGGACGAAAAAUGACGGUACUUAAUGAAUAAGCUCCGGCUAACUACGUGCCAGCAGCCGCGGUAAUACGUAGGGAGCAAGCGUUGUCCGGAUUUACUGGGUGUAAAGGGUGCGUAGGCGGCUUUGCAAGUCAGAUGUGAAAAUCUAUGGGCUCACCCCAUAAACUGCGUUUGAAACUGUCGUGCUUGAGUGNNGUUGGGGCCGGCGGCUUUCCCCGUGGUGCGGGUGAAAUGCGUNGUGUUGGGGAAGAAACGCCUGUGGCCGAAGGCGGCCUGCUGGGGCUUUAACUGUCGCUGUGGCGCGCNUGCGUGGGUNGCUUUCAAAAUUCGCUUCCCUGGUAGUCCACGCCGUAAACGAGGAAUAUGGGUGGGGGGGGUGUGACCCCUUCCGUGCCGGAGGUUAACACAAUAAGUAAAUCCACCUGAGGAGUACGGCCGCAAGGGUGAAACUCAAAAGGAAAAGACGGGGGGCCGCACAAACAGUGGAGUAUGUGGUUUAAUUUGAAGCAACGCGAAGAACCCUACCAGGUCUUGACAUCCAACUAACGAAGUAGAGAUACAUUAGGUGCCCUUCGGGGAAAGAUGAGACAGGUGGUGCAUGGUUGUCGUCAGCUCGUGUCGUGAGAUGUUGGGUUAAGUCCCGCAACGAGCGCAACCCUUACUGUCAGUUACUACGCAAGAGGACUCUGGCAGGACUGCCGUUGACAAAACGGAGGAAGGUGGGGAGGACGUCAAAUCAUCAUGCCCUUUAUGACUUGGGCUACACACGUACUACAAUGGCGUUAAACAAAGAGAAGCAAGACCGCGAGGUGGAGCAAAACUCAGAAACAACGUCCCAGUUCGGACUGCAGGCUGCAACUCGCCUGCACGAAGUCGGAAUUGCUAGUAAUCGUGGAUCAGCAUGCCACGGUGAAUAAAAUCCCGGGCCUUGCACA
rnacentral:rRNA from 1 species